rnacentral:rRNA from 1 species
CCUACGGUGGGCAGCAGUGGGGAAUAUUGCACAAUGGGGGAAACCCUGAUGCAGCGACGCCGCGUGAGUGAAGAAGUAAUUCGUUAUGUAAAGCUCUAUCAGCCGGGACGAAACAGACGGUACCUGAGUACGAAGCACCGGCUAACUACGUGCCAGCAGCCGCGGUAAUACGUAGGGGGCCAGCGUUAUCCGGAUUUACUGGGUGUAAAGGGCGCGUAGACGGCGAAGAAAGUCUGAAGUGAAAGCCCGCGGCUUAACCGCGGAACUGCUUUUGAAACUUGUUGGCUGGAGUACCGGAGAGGUAAGCGGAAUUCCUAGUGUAGCGGUGAAAUGCGUAGAUAUUAGGAGGAAUACCAGUGGCGAAGGCGGCUUACUGGACGGUAACUGACGUUGAGGCGCGAAAGCGUGGGGAGCAAACAGGAUUAGAUACCCGAGUAGUC